rnacentral:rRNA from 1 species
GAUGAACGCUAGCUACAGGCUUAACACAUGCAAGUCGAGGGGCAUCAGGAAGAAAGCUUGCUUUCUUUGCUGGCGACCGGCGCACGGGUGAGUAACACGUAUCCAACCUGCCCUUUACUCGGGGAUAGCCUUUCGAAAGAAAGAUUAAUACCCGAUAGCAUAAUGAUUCCGCAUGGUUUCAUUAUUAAAGGAUUCCGGUAAAGGAUGGGGAUGCGUUCCAUUAGGUUGUUGGUGAGGUAACGGCUCACCAAGCCUUCGAUGGAUAGGGGUUCUGAGAGGAAGGUCCCCCACAUUGGAACUGAGACACGGUACCAA